rnacentral:rRNA from 1 species
GGGGAAUCUUCCGCAAUGGGCGAAAGCCUGACGGAGCAAGACCGCGUGAGGGAGGAAGGCUCUUGGGUUGUAAACCUCUUUUCUUGGGGAAGAAAAAAAUGACGGUACCCAAGGAAUCAGCAUCGGCUAACUCCGUGCCAGCAGCCGCGGUAAUACGGAGGAUGCAAGCGUUAUCCGGAAUUAUUGGGCGUAAAGCGUCCGCAGGUGGCACUUCAAGUCUGCUGUCAAAGGUCGGGGCUUAACCCCGGGAAGGCAGUGGAAACUGAAGCGCUAGAGUGUCGUAGGGGUAGAGGGAAUUCCCGGUGUAGCGGUGAAAUGCGUAGAGAUCGGGAAGAACAUCGGUGGCGAAAGCGCUCUACUGGACGACAACUGACACUCAGGGACGAAAGCUAGGGGAGCGAAUGGGAUUAGAUACCCCUG